UCCCGGGAGGCCUGGAGCAGCGGGCCAUGGAGUGAGAGAGCCUCUCCUGGGUUUGACGUGUGGUGGACACUGAGCUCACUCACCCCCACCUUCCUCUUGGGGGCACCAAACCACAGCCUCAAACAUACUUGAGGAACUUCUGAGUCAGCAGGAGGCGACCGUGAUAGAAGGGCACAUGGUCAGACUGUGGGAAAGAAUGGGGAGCAUCACCACACCAUUCUAAGAGCUUUCCUGGCCCUGCCGACAUGGCAGCCUGCGCAUAAACAUGGCAAAAGCGACCCCAAGUGCUCCCUGCAUAUCUGCAGAGUGAUAGACAACAGCCCAGCUCAGACCCGGCCCCGACUGACCCUGCACGAGCGUCAAAGUGGCAGCCACAGGUGACAAGUGUGUGUCCAGCAUGACUGGCUGUGCCCUCUCCUCCCAUGACCUCAUUUAAUCCUAGGUGUCGGGCAGUGGGCACUGUUAUCCACCCCCUCUCAACCAAGAUGGAGGGGUGGGAUCCAAAGACAUAACAGGACUCACCUA